ACGGCCAUACCAUGCUGGUACCAUAUACCGGUUCUCAUUAGAUCACCGAAGUCAAGCAUCAUUGGGCGCGGUCAGUACUUGGGUGGGUGACCACCUGGGAACACUGUGUGCUGUU